GCAAGUCGAGCGAGAAUGUUGGUGCUUGCACUGACAGGACAGCGGCGCACGGGUGAGUAAUGCGUACACAAUCUACCAUAUACAGGAGGAUAGCCCCGGGAAACUGGGUUUAAUACGCCAUGGCCCCUAAAGCAGGCAUCUGUUUAAGGGUAAAGCCCCGGCGGUAUAUGAUGAGUGGGCGUACUAUUAGUUAGUUGGUGAGGUAACGGCCCACCAAGACGAUGAUAGGUAGGGGGCGUGAGAGCGUGAUC
rnacentral:rRNA from 1 species